rnacentral:rRNA from 1 species
AUGAUGACAAUAACGAGGAAGAGCUUCAUGCAAUUGGAGAAGGUGAAGCUCGCAAGUCAGGGCAAAGCUUACAUGGUAGGGCAAUAUUUGGCUAGAUGGAUGUACAAGAAAAAUAUUCCUUUCAAUGCUGUCAAUGAUGAUGACUUCAAGCAGUUUUGUGAAGCCCUUGGUCGAUUUGGUCCUAAAUGGAAGCCACCUUCCCAAUAUAUGCUCCGAGAGAAGAUGUUGCUGCAAGAGGUGGAAAGAACAAAGGAUUUGAUGAAGCCACAUGAGCUUGAGAGGGUGGAAACCGGGUGCUCUAUCAUGACCGAUGCUUGGACCGACAAGAAAAGAAGAAGUAUAAUGAAUUUGUGUGUGCAUUGCAAGUUAGGGACCACCUUUCUUGAAUCAAAGGAGGCGUCGGCUGAUGCACACACAAGUCUAUACAUCUUCAAUUAUGUAGUUGAGUGCAUUGAGAAAAUUGGUAUGAUUCUUGAAGUCUCAAGUUUACUUUCAUUCAUUGAUUUUCAUAAUGUUGUAGGUCCUGAUUUUGAGAUUUUCCAUCUUGUAGGUGCUGAAAAUGUUGUGCAAGUGGUCACAGACAAUGCUUCCAACAACAUGGGAGCAAAGGAGAUGCUGAAAGGAAAAUGGCCAAAAAUCUUUUGGAGCUCAUGUGCAACUCACACCCUCAAUUUGAUGGUAGAAGCAAUUAGGAAGCUAAAGCAAUUUGGCCCUACAAUCAUCAAAGCUAAGCAAAUGACAAUUUUUCUUUAUGCACAUCAUAAAACAUUGUCCUUGAUGAGGUUUUUCACGAAAAAAAGAGACAUUGUUAGACCGGGGGUGACACGAUUUGCUUCGGCAUUUCUUACGUUGCAAAGUUUGGUUUCUAAAAAGAAAGAACUAAGGGCAAUGGUUUAUAGUGAUGAAUGGGAAGCAUGCAAGCACACAAAAACGGUGAAAGGAAAGGCGGCCAAUGCCACAAUAAUGAGUAGGGGCUUUUGGAAAAAUGUAUCACUUUGCAUCAAGGUAUGUUUAUGGGGGCUGUUUGCAUCUAGUCAUAUGUUGGGGUGUUCGCAUCUAUGUAUUUCUACAUUGGGGCUGUUUGCAUCUUGUCAAGUAGUCAUAGUUGUAGUUGUAACUUGUGCAUUUCUAAUGGUGGGGCUGUUUGCACGUGCUUAUAUGACUCAUUUGAUCAUUUUUAUGUGA